rnacentral:rRNA from 1 species
UACGUAGGGGGCAAGCGUUGUCCGGAAUCAUUGGGCGUAAAGAGCGCGUAGGCGGCCCGAUAAGUCCGCUGUGAAAGUCAAGGGCUCAACCCUUGAAUGCCGGUGGAUACUGUCGGGCUAGAGUCCGGAAGAGGCGAGUGGAAUCCUGGUGUAGCGGUGAAUGCGCAGAUAUCAGGAGAACACCAACGGCGAAGGCAGCUCGCUAGGACGGUACUGACGCUGAGGUGCGAAAGCGUGGGGAGCAAACAGG